UACGUAGGGUGCGAGCGUUAAUCGGAAUUACUGGGCGUAAAGCGUGCGCAGGCGGCUUCGCAAGUCAGGCGUGAAAUCCCCGGGCUUAACCUGGGAAUGGCGUCUGAAACUACGGAGCUGGAGUGUGGCAGAGGGAGGUAGAAUUCCACGUGUAGCGGUGAAAUGCGUAGAUAUGUGGAGGAAUACCGAUGGCGAAGGCAGCCUCCUGGGCCAAACACUGACGCUCAUGCACGAAAGCGUGGGGAGCGAACAGG
rnacentral:rRNA from 1 species